GAUGAAGAACGUAGCGAAAUGCGAUAAGUAAUGUGAAUUGCAGAAUUCAGUGAAUCAUCGAGUUUUUGAACGCAUAUUGCGCCCUCUGGUAUUCCGGGGGGCAUGCCUGUUCGAGCGUCAUUAAAUAACCCUCAAGCAUAGCUUGGUGUUGGGCUUUUUUACGUCCUUGACUGGGAUGGGCCUAAAAAUUAGUGGCGAUGGCUUUUUUACUUUCAAGCGUAGUAAAUCUCGUCUUGCUAAAGAGGAAAAAGAUUUUUUUUCUGCCAAAAAUUUUAACAUUUAAAGUUGACCUCGGAUCAGGUAGGAUCACCCGCUGAACUUAAGCAUAUCAAUAAGCGGAGGA
rnacentral:misc_RNA from 1 species